UAUGACUCUAGUAACUUGUAGACAACUGAAACCAAAACAGAGUUCUCCUUCUUCACACGCUCAUCAACUUUCUCCUUUCCUCCUUUGGAAUUUUUGAAGCCAACGUGAAGAAAUAAGCUAGGAAAUUAAAGGUUUGAGCUUAGGAUCUUGGUUCAUCCAUUGAAGAGGACUCAAAACUAGCUUGAGGUGACUGCUAAGGAACUAAAAGACAAAUUGUUCUCAAGGGUCGUUCUUUUAUUAAUUUUCGCUUGAACCAGAGGAUCGGCGUUGGUCGCGUAUUACUGACCUGAGAGUCAGAAAUGGCAUAAGCGUCAUGAACGCAGAGCCGAUAAAAGAUUAGAUCUAAUCAAUAUCAGUGUUGAAUGACUCAAAGAGCAUUAAUGUUGGACCAACUCGAAGGUCGAUGAAAAUUAUAAGCGCUUGUCUAGUCUAAGACUAGUUACUCAGAGUCAGGGCCAAAGGCCUAGGUGACUGUUUUGUCACAUGGCUGAGGGAGCGGAAUCCCAUGUUAGUGACUUGAUAAUUAGUCACUCGUUUAAAUGUACAGACCCCCUGUUAGUGACUUGAUAAUUAGUCACUCAUUUAAAGGUACAGACCCCCUGUUAGUGACUUGAUAAUUAGUCACUCGUUUAAAGGUAAAGGCAAAAGAAAGCUAGACCAUCCUUGAGUUGGAGAGCUUAGCUAACGAUGUGUACAUAUGCAGCUGCUUGACCGCCACGGCCGAGGGUUGAAAGAGGAACUAGGGUUAAACCCUGUUCUGCCGCUUAGAUUGGCUGGUUGUAAAUAUUUUCUUGUAAUAGACCUUUAAAUUAUAUUUUUGGGAUCCCAAUGUAUACAGUAAACGUUCUAAUGAAACGUUAUAUCUUAACCAAAAUUUUUAAUCCCUACAUCGCUAAUCAUACUUAGUUACACGAUUAUGACCAAAUGACUCGAUUAGUGAGUUUGGCACUGUUUAAAAGGCACACCGUAACGGUACCUGGAGUUUUGAGGCAUUAUAGUUAUAUAUAAAAAAAUUAACUUAUAAUUUCUUUAUGUGCUAAAAAUAGAAACAUUCCUACCAGUGAGAACAAAAA